rnacentral:rRNA from 1 species
GGGGGAUAACCAUUGGAAACGAUGGCUAAUACCGCAUACGCCCUACGGGGGAAAGAGGGGGAUGCUUCGGCACCUUUCGCGAUUGGAUAAGCCUAAGUGAGAUUAGCUAGUUGGUGGGGUAAAGGCUCACCAAGGCGACGAUCUCUAGCUGGUUUGAGAGGAUGAUCAGCCACACUGGAACUGAGACACGGUCCAGACUCCUACGGGAGGCAGCAGUGGGGAAUAUUGCACAAUGGGCGCAAGCCUGAUGCAGCCAUGCCGCGUGUAUGAAGAAGGCCUUCGGGUUGUAAAGUACUUUCAGCGAGGAGGAAAGGUUAGUAGUUAAUACCUGCUAGCUGUGACGUUACUCGCAGAAGAAGCACCGGCUAACUCCGUGCCAGCAGCCGCGGUAAUACGGAGGGUGCGAGCGUUAAUCGGAAUUACUGGGCGUAAAGCGCAUGCAGGCGGUUGAUUAAGCGAGAUGUGAAAGCCCCGGGCUUAACCUGGGAACUGCAUUUCGAACUGGUCAACUAGAGUCUUGUAGAGGGAGGUAGAAUUUCAGGUGUAGCGGUGAAAUGCGUAGAGAUCUGNANGGAAUACCAGUGGCGAANNNGGCCUCCUGGNNAAAGACUGACGCUCANAUGCGAAAGCGUGGGGAGCAACNGNAUUAGA